CCUAACCGGUCCUCCUAGGGGUAGUGGAGAUGUGGGCCGCAGAGCUGCGUGGCCUGGCUGUGCGGAUUCCCUGAAUGCCGCACUUGCGCACAGCCCCUUACGUAACUGUCAGCGCCGGGGAUUCCCUAGAGGGGGUCAUUCUAUUCAACCAUUACACACACCCCGGGCUUCUGCCGCCGCGCGGCGCCGCCGCCGCCUCACAAAAUGGCGGCCCCCAUAGAGGAGACAGCGGACGCCUCCUCGGCCCCAUUUUGUGGGAGGCGAGAGAUCUGUCAACAUGGAAAACCUCCGCUGAGGAUGCCUCGGAGUUUGGGAAGCCUGCUUAAGGGAUGGAGUCGAGGGGAUCUCGUUCGACGGACAAUGUCAGCGACUUCCAGCACCCCCACGCUCUUUUUUCCCAUUUUCUCGAAGGAAACGCCAGAAGCCUCGGGGUAAUUGUAACUAAAAGGAGAAGGAAAGGCUGCGGCUGACUUCUUCGAGGACUUGCCGCGGCGUCUUUUUGGUGGCUUUGGUUACUCUUCCACGCUCCCGGGAGCUGAGCGCGAUGCCGCGGAGGUCCUGGGCCGCCGGCCCUGUCCGAGGGGACGGGGACCCGGACGGGGCCUGGGCGACGCCGAGUGGCCCCGGCGUUCUCUGCCGCGCCACUUGGGCACUGAGACUUUUCGGUAGUUUUUAAAUGCUAGAGUUCACCUGUCGGCACCUCUCGUCUGAAUCGUGGGCUUUGGAGCCCCGGAGAUCCCUGUUCCGGGAGCCGGGGAGUCGUGUUGCCCGGAGCGGCGGACUCGCGGAUCCCGCUGCCCAGGAGUCCUGGGUGGUCGCGGCGCGGACCCGGCCCGGGAUGGUGUUGAUCGGGCAGAAGUGGGAACGAAGGCUCGCUCGUACACUGAAAUUUAAGUCGUCCUAUUCGGGACCUGGGAUUGUGUGUUACUGUCUCAGGUUGGAUGUUAGAACAUCUUUCCUAGUAUUCCACUCUGCAGUGGGCAUACCUGAUUUAUCUUAUUUUUCAUUCGUAGGGCAGAAUGGAAGGUGACAUUUUAUGUUUUUAUUUUUAAAGGAGAGGUUGCCACAUUUAAGGCACUGACUGCUGGCUAUUAGUGUAUUUCCGUGUGUAUACACACAUGCAUGUACAGUACUGUGUUUUCCUUUUCAGUACUAGUAUCAAGGCUUAAGACCUGGAGUGUGACACUAACGCUUUAACUCCUUUCUUAAAAAUUAAGAUGUGAUAGGUAACUGGAGAAUUGACUCUGAAACAAAAUUCCUUUUCUGCAGAAGGAGCUGCCAUCUACAAAAUGGAUUCCUAAAGUAUGUCUGAAGGAUAGAAUUUAAAUUCAUAACACUUUGGAUAUGCUCUAGUCAAAGAAAAAAAAAACCCUGAUGUUUAUCACAUUACUGUGUGGUUCAACUUCCCGAGGACUAGAAAAAUGUGACUCUUAAGUUUAAAAGAAUUGGUUGAACAAGACUAUUGAACUUAAAUUUGUGUUUUUUUAAAGAUGAUCUUAAGAAGAAAGAUGUGACUAUUUCACCCUGGGAAGUAUUGGAAGAUACAAAGCCUGGCCAAAGGUUUUACAACUAUGAGUGCGCAUGAGCUCAACAAAUGAAAAGGGAACUUCUGGGUUGCAUUUAUUAUAACCAUGAUGAGAGCAUGGUGUUUUUUCAUCUUCUUUCCUGUUCUGGCUGCUGUGGAAAUGAAGGUUAAUAUAUUUACAGAGACACCAUGGAUGGUUUCAUGGGCUGAGCAAUGCACCACUUCAAGGGGUGUUAUUCAGAUAGACUGCAGUAUGAUUGAAGAUCUCCCCCAUCAUAAUUUGGGUUCUCCCUGAAGCAGACCCCAAGACUUGUGCAAGACACAACUUGUAAGGUCCAAGGAGACUAUUCCAGAUCCAGCCAUCACAUCUGCCUUCCAGCCAGCAGGAAGGAGAAAUGAGCAAAGAAGAGAGGGCAAAAGGUGUACCAACAUUUUUAAAUAGUCUCCAGAAGGGAAUCCUGCUCUGUGGACACAUUGACCUCAGACCAGCAAGG